GGCCUGAUAGCUCAGUUGGUUAUAGCAUGGUACUGAUAAUGCCAAGGUCACAGGUUUGAUCCCUGUAUAGGACA